rnacentral:rRNA from 1 species
AACGUAGGACACGAGCGUUAUCCGGAGUUACUGGGCGUAAAGGGCGUGCAGGCGGCAUGGUAAGUCUGAUGUGAAAGCUCCCGGCUCAACCGGGAGAGGACAUUGGAGACUGCCAAGCUCGAGGCAGAUAGAGGGAUGUAGAAUUCCGGGUGUAGUGGUGAAAUGCGUAGAGAUCCGGAGGAACACCAGUGGCGAAGGCGACACGCUGGGCCAUACCUGACGCUAAAGCGCGACAGCAUGGGGAGCAAACGGG